rnacentral:misc_RNA from 1 species
AGAGAGAGAGAACAAGCAACCAGAAAUGCAGCCCAAGUGAAUUGAUGUCUGAAGAUGAGUAAAAACAAAUAACGGUGAAAAAAGAAAAGAAUAGAAAGAGGGUAGGAGUAUGGUGAGAAACGAAAGGUGGAAAACAAUUAGACAACUGAGAGAGGAUAUAGUAUAGAGACGGAGAGUUGUCUGGUUUACAAAAUCCCAAGCAUUAUUGGCGGUGGCAGUUUUGUCCGGCAGCGGGGACUGAGUUGUGGGGACUCCUCUCUCAUAUGCGUACACCAAGGAUAAAAGACUAAAAAGCUUUGGAAAUUGAUAUAUACAAUGCACAUGGUCUCCACCAGCACGAUUAUGACAACCUUUGGAGUGUUGCUACUUGCUACUGGCUGCACUUAAAAAAUCUUAUAUAAAUUUUAUGUUUAUGAUUCACUAUGAAUGAAGUGCAU